rnacentral:rRNA from 1 species
CCUACGGGUGGCAGCAGUGAGGAAUAUUGGUCAAUGGACGAGAGUCUGAACCAGCCAAGUAGCGUGAAGGAUGACUGCCCUAUGGGUUGUAAACUUCUUUUAUAUGGGAAUAAAACGUUCCACGUGUGGGAUUUUGUAUGUACCAUAUGAAUAAGGAUCGGCUAACUCCGUGCCAGCAGCCGCGGUAAUACGGAGGAUCCGAGCGUUAUCCGGAUUUAUUGGGUUUAAAGGGAGCGUAGGUGGAUUGUUAAGUCAGUUGUGAAAGUUUGCGGCUCAACCGUAAAAUUGCAGUUGAAACUGGCAGUCUUGAGUACAGUAGAGGUGGGCGGAAUUCGUGGUGUAGCGGUGAAAUGCUCAGAUAUCACGAAGAACUCCGAUUGCGAAGGCAGUUCACUGGACUGCAACUGACACUGAGGCUCGAAAGUGUGGGUAUCAAACAGGAUUAGAUACCCUUGUAGUC